CGGGGGGAGCAAGCGUUGUUCGGAUUUACUGGGCGUAAAGGGCGCGUAGGCGGCCACCGCAAGUCGACUGUGAAAUCUCCGGGCUUAACCCGGAAAGGUCAGCCGAUACUGCGGGGCUAGAGUGCAGAAGGGGCAACUGGAAUUCUCGGUGUAGCGGUGAAAUGCGUAGAUAUCGAGAGGAACACCUGCGGCGAAGGCGGGUUGCUGGGCUGACACUGACGCUGAUGCGCGAAAGCUAGGGGAGCGAACGGGAUUAGAUACCCUGGUAGUCCACGCCCUAAACGAUGUCAACUAGGUGUUGGGAGGGUAAAACCUUUUAGUACCGGAGCUAACGCGUGAAGUUGACCGCCUGGGGAGUACGGCCGCAAGGUUA
rnacentral:rRNA from 1 species